UGGGGAAUAUUGCACAAUGGGCGAAAGCCUGAUGCAGCGACGCCGCGUGAGGGAUGACGGCCUUCGGGUUGUAAACCUCUUUCAGCAGGGACGAAGCGCAAGUGACGGUACCUGCAGAAGAAGCACCGGCUAACUACGUGCCAGCAGCCGCGGUAAUACGUAGGGUGCAAGCGUUGUCCGGAAUUACUGGGCGUAAAGAGUUCGUAGGCGGAUUGUCGCGUCGUUUGUGAAAACCAGCAGCUCCACUGCUGGCUUGCAGGCGAUACGGGCAGACUUGAGUACUGCAGGGGAGACUGGAAUUCCUGGUGUAGCGGUGAAAUGCGCAGAUAUCAGGAGGAACACCGGUGGCGAAGGCGGGUCUCUGGGCAGUAACUGACGCUGAGGAACGAAAGCGUGGGUAGCGAACAGG
rnacentral:rRNA from 1 species